rnacentral:rRNA from 1 species
UGCCAGACUCCUACGGGAGGCAGCAGUGAGGAAUAUUGGUCAAUGGGCGGGAGCCUGAACCAGCCAUGCCGCGUGAAGGCGAGUGCCCUACGGGCGUUAAACUUCUUUUGUGCGGGAGCAAUAAGGGCCACGCGUGGCCCGAUGAGAGUACCGCACGAAUAAGCAUCGGCUAACUCCGUGCCAGCAGCCGCGGUAAUACGGGGGAUGCAAGCGUUGUCCGGAAUCAUUGGGCGUAAAGAGUUCGUAGGUGGCACGUUAAGUCUGGUGUUAAAUGCAGAGGCUCAACCUCUGUUCGGCACUGGAUACUGGCGAGCUUGAAUGCGGUAGAGGUAAAGGGAAUUCCUGGUGUAGCGGUGAAAUGCGUAGAUAUCAGGAGGAACAUCGGUGGCGUAAGCGCUUUACUGGGCCGUAAUUGACACUGAGGAACGAAAGCCAGGGUAGCAAAUGGGAUUAGAUACCCUCGUACAA